ensembl:lncRNA
ACAGAGGUAUUUCCAUAUUAACUGGGUACUGUGGGACACCCUGGAGCUGGCUGUUCCAUGGCUGUUCACCUUUCAGAUCCAUGCUCCUCUGCCUUCUGAUGUACAGUACAGAAUACAUGUACUUUGCUGAAACUUAACUGAAUUACUCUUCUGUCACCCAGGCUCUGUGAUGCUAUAAAGGCUGGUUAACAUAUAUAUGAAAGCCAUGGCUCACCACUGCACUUUGUGUGACACAUGCUCUUGUCAAAGGCUUUCAUCACAAAAAAACAUUAAAAAGUCAUGACCACUACCGAAAAGAUCCAGAAACAGGACUAACAAGUAAAGAUGUCAAGAAGCGCCCUACCCCCUCCUUCCUUGGAUUUUGAAUGGGAAGAGAAAGCUCUUGUUUUAGUCACUUUUUAUUUUUUGUGCCUCCUCAACACAUGGUGCUACAGCAGUUAAAUCCUCACGUGGUUUACAUGAAGGCCUCUUGUUGCCAAACACCUGCAAUCAGUAGCUCACCAUUUGGCUGGGAAGUCAAAGACAAGACACAUGCCGUGCUGAAACCACAUCACUCCCUUCCCUGAAUGCUGCAAAGCUGCAGGGGGAGUACCUAGCAGUGCCUUAGGGUUUGCAGUCAGCUCUAGAGCGUGUGUCUUAUGUGUACUCAGCAGUUACGUCCAGAGAGUCUGUGUGGAAAGCAUCAUAUCCCUCAGGAUCAGAGAUCGUGCACUACCUGGACAGGAUGGUGACGGCAACCUUGCUGAAGCACACAGAAGGCCAAUUUGUAAUAUGUUUCUCAUGUUGUUCUCUCGAACAAUGAUUAGAACCCAUGUUCGUGUAAAACAUGCUUUCUGUGGUUGUAUCAUUAACUGUAGCAAGGUCAGUGUGCUCCCCAGAUGUGCUUCCAUUAUCCAGUUCGGCUGGGUUAGAGCACAGGACACAUCACAAAGGGGAGGAAUGUUCACAGCACCAGCUUUGCUGUUGCCUGAGGACAAAAGCAAGUCCUAUGGAUGGAGCCUGGCUGUGGAGAGGCACUUGCUUUGCUGCAAAGGGGAACGGAAGCCACUUAAUGUGCUGCUGCUGCUUGAUUGCUGUAGGGGAAGGAGGAUUUUCUGCCAGAGGUGACAUGAGAGCUUUAUCUACUGUGACGAUGGCCACAAGCUAAACACUAUGUGCAGACAGAAACUCUGGGCUAGAGAGGAAAGGAGAAGAAAGGUAAGUGCACUCUGUAAAUUAGGGGCAGUUUCAUAAGUAAGUUGAGUUGUGAGGACCCAGGAAAAAUCCUCCUCCUCUCCACUGCCACCCUGGCCUGAAAUGUCUCCCAGCUGAGUCA